GGGAAUGUGGCUUAAUGGUAGAGCACUUGCCUAGCAUGCAGGAAGGCCUGAGUUCAAUUCUUCAGUACCA
rfam:Dipodomys ordii contig_60933, whole genome shotgun sequence.